AUGGACAGCGACGCCAUCUUCACGAACAUGACAUUCGCACUCCCACUUGAGAAAUACAAGGAUCACAACAUGGUAGUCCAGGGGUGGGACAAUGAGCUGUACGACCUCAAGAAUUGGGUGGGACUCAACACAGGUCCGUCGAAAUCUGUUAACAGUUGUCUGAGUGUAAAUUGAGUACUUACAAUCAAUUGAUUAUACUCCUCACAUGUUCGUUUAUUGCCAUGGAAUAGGAGUCAUCCUUCUCCGGAAUUGCCACUGGUCCAUCGACCUUCUCCAUGAAUGGGUGAAAUUUAGCCCCAAAGGUCGAGUGGGGGAAGCUGCCUGAGCCCUGCUGACGGAGGCAUUUCCGGACAGGCCACUCGUCGAUGCAGAGGAUCAAUGAGCCUUAGUCUACUUGCUCAUAACGUAGAGGUACAUGAUCUUACGGACCAUUCGAUUUAUAAACAAGCUAAAUUAGACACUAGAGAAUGUGGACAGUGUUCCUAAGCAUCGAAAGGGUGAUGCAUUCAUGGUGGCGAUGGGCAGCGAAAGUGUACCUGGAGCAUUCGUACCACUUGCAAGGAUUCUUCGAGGUUAGGACGAUGCAGACGCACAGGUAUCCGGGGAUGGGGUACGUGGUGGCCGUUCGUGACGCACUCCACCGGGUGUCAAAUCUGUAUCGGAUUGCCCAAAACACAAUACGACAUCGAGAAUUGUCACCGACACAUGGAGCAAGCUUACAAAAUUGCAAACAAUCAAGUGUUGCAGCAAACUGGCUGGCUUUACUUGUGGCUUCCUCCACAACUCAAUAGUCAAACAUAUCUGACUGCCACCAACAGCAUUCAUAAAAAAAACUAUUACUUACAUAUCAGCAAAUCUUGCGGCUUGGUCCCUGAAACCCCUCGCCUGGCACCCCUACGAUGUCCUCAAUUUUCUACCUCCAUAUUUAAUGGUGUCCUUUAGAUUUUAGACCUCCAGGGAUUGCAAUCAGGAUCCACAAAUUACGUUGAGCGUCUCUGAUCUGGUUGAGCGUGUCUAUUGAAGAGAUGGAGUGGAAUAAUAACUAACCAAAUAGGCAUUGUUGCCUUCAGUGUGAGGUGCCACCUGUCCUUUACGAUGUAGACUUAGCAGUCAGAGGAAGACGAUAGGGCUGCCCUGGUCAGUGCGUGCUUACAAGAUUUUCUCUUGUGAGGACUUUCAUGCAUCUGACACCCAGCAGUAUAUGUCUGUCAACCGGGCAUAUGAACCUGGCGACGUAAGUACUCGCUGUUCUUGAUGAAUGCUGCUUCGCAGCAGGUGCGGCUGGUGAGGAUGCUCAGAACACCCUAUUAGUUGCAACUGCCCUCCGAAGUCAUGUUACUCCGUCUGGUAUGUUUAGUUAUACCCAUUAUGCUCUUUUGCCCUGAGAUCAUAUUCGACGCCCUUCAUGUACAUCCCAGAAGAGUACAAAACGGUUAUCUGGUUUCAUUAUCACCAAAUCUCAGUCACCAAAAAUGAGAGACUUCGGCAUAGUUUGUGACAAUGUACCCAGUUUUCAGCAAAUUUGCAAGGCUGGCUCAUACAGUGCCGUAGUUGCUUCCAAACGGAAAUCUACGAGCGCAAAGUAGAAAAAACCUUCA
rnacentral:lncRNA from 1 species